GACGAACGCUGGCGGCGUGCUUAACACAUGCAAGUCGAACGAUGAAGCGGUGCUUGCACCGUGGAUUAGUGGCGAACGGGUGAGUAAUACGUGAGUGACCUACCUUUGACUCUGGGAUAAGCCUGGGAAACUGGGUCUAAUACCGGAUACGACCAAUCUCUGCAUGGGGUGUUGGUGGAAAGCGUUAUGGAGUGGUUUUAGAUGGGCUCACGGCCUAUCAGCUUGUUGGUGAGGUAAUGGCUUACCAAGGCGACGACGGGUAGCCGGCCUGAGGGGGUGACCGGCCACACUGGGACUGAGACACGGCCCAGACUCCUACGGGAGGCAGCAGUGGGGAAUAUUGCACAAUGGGCGCAAGCCUGAUGCAGCGACGCCGCGUGAGGGAUGACGGCCUUCGGGUUGUAAACCUCUGUUAGCAUCGAAGAAGCGAAAGUGACGGUAGGUGCAGAGAAAGCGCCGGCUAACUACGUGCCAGCAGCCGCGGUAAUACGUAGGGCGCGAGCGUUGUCCGGAAUUAUUGGGCGUAAAGAGCUUGUAGGCGGUUGGUCGCGUCUGCUGUGAAGGCCGGGGCUUAACUCCGGUUUUGCAGUGGGUACGGGCUAACUAGAGUGCAGUAGGGGAGACUGGAAUUCCUGGUGUAGCGGUGGAAUGCACAGAUAUCAGGAGGAACACCGAUGGCGAAGGCAGGUCUCUGGGCUGUAACUGACGCUGAGAAGCGAAAGCAUGGGGAGCGAACAGGAUUAGAUACCCUGGUAGUCCAUGCCGUAAACGUUGGGCACUAGGUGUGGGGGACAUUCCACGUUUUCCGCGCCGUAGCUAACGCAUUAAGUGCCCCGCCUGGGGAGUACGGCCGCAAGGCUAAAACUCAAAGGAAUUGACGGGGGCCCGCACAAGCGGCGGAGCAUGCGGAUUAAUUCGAUGCAACGCGAAGAACCUUACCAAGGCUUGACAUGCAUUAGAUCGCGUCAGAGAUGGCGUUUCCCUUCGGGGCUGGUGUACAGGUGGUGCAUGGUUGUCGUCAGCUCGUGUCGUGAGAUGUUGGGUUAAGUCCCGCAACGAGCGCAACCCUCGUUCUAUGUUGCCAGCGGUUCGGCCGGGGACUCAUAGGAGACUGCCGGGGUCAACUCGGAGGAAGGUGGGGAUGACGUCAAAUCAUCAUGCCCCUUAUGUCUUGGGCUUCACGCAUGCUACAAUGGCCGGUACAGAGGGUUGCGAUACUGUGAGGUGGAGCUAAUCCCUUAAAGCCGGUCUCAGUUCGGAUUGGGGUCUGCAACUCGACCCCAUGAAGUCGGAGUCGCUAGUAAUCGCAGAUCAGCAACGCUGCGGUGAAUACGUUCCCGGGCCU
rnacentral:rRNA from 1 species